AGUGAACGCUGGCGGUAGGCCUAACACAUGCAAGUCGAACGGAGUGGCGGACGGGUGAGUAAUGCCUAGGAAUCUGCCUGGUAGUGGGGGAUAACGUCCGGAAACGGGCGCUAAUACCGCAUACUAUCAGAUGAGCCUAGGUCGGAUUAGCUAGUUGGUGGGGUAAAGGCCUACCAAGGCGACGAUCCGUAACUGGUCUGAGAGGAUGAUCAGUCACACUGGAACUGAGACACGGUCCAGACUCCUACGGGAGGCAGCAGUGGGGAAUAUUGGACAAUGGGCGAAAGCCUGAUCCAGCCAUGCCGCGUGUGUGAAGAAGGUCUUCGGGUUGUAAAGUACUUUCAGCGGGGAGGCGUUACCAACAGAAUAAGCACCGGCUAACUUCGUGCCAGCAGCCGCGGUAAUUC
rnacentral:rRNA from 1 species